rnacentral:rRNA from 1 species
UACGAAGGGGGCUAGCGUUGCUCGGAAUCACUGGGCGUAAAGCGCACGUAGGCGGCUUUUUAAGUCAGAGGUGAAAUCCUGGAGCUCAACUCCAGAACUGCCUUUGAUACUGGAGUGCUUGAGUCCGGGAGAGGUGAGUGGAACUGCGAGUGUAGAGGUGAAAUUCGUAGAUAUUCGCAAAGAACACCAGUGGCGAAGGCGCUCACUGGCCCGGUACUGACGCUGAGGUGCGAAAGCGUGGGGAGCAACAGGGAUUGAA